UUUCUUAACUGUAGUGGUUAUACUGCUCUUUUGUGAUGCAAAAGUCACUUCACCACAAACAUAGCAGUCUGCGAUUUCCUCAAGUAGCGGAAAUUCGACUGCACAAUUUGUGGUAGUGGGGGACUGCGUGCGCGCUUUCCCCUG
rnacentral:snRNA from 1 species